rnacentral:rRNA from 1 species
CCUUUUGAAUUUAAUUUAAGGUCUAAUCUGCCCGCUGAGUAAUUGAAUGGCCGCGGUAUUUUGACCGUGCGAAGGUAGCAUAAUCAUUAGUUUCUUAAUUAGAAGCUGGAAUGAAGGAUUGAAUGAGAAAAUAACUGUCUCAAAUUAAUUUUUUUAGAAUUUUAUUUUUAAGUUAAAAAGCUUAAAUUUAAUUAAAAGACGAGAAGACCCUAUAGAGUUUUAUAGUUAAAUUUAAUUUAAAUGAUUUGUUUAUAAUAAUUUAUUUUUUUUUUAAUUAUUUUGUUGGGGUGAUAGAAAAAUUUAAUUAACUUUUUUUAAAUUAAUAUACUUAUGAGUAAAUUUUUGAUCCAAUAUUUUUGAUUAAAAGAUUAAAUUACCUUAGGGAUAACAGCGUAAUUUUUUUUAAGAGUUCUUAUCGAAAAAAAAGAUUGCGACCUCGAUGUUGGAUUAAAAUUAAGUUUUGGUGUAGAAGCUAAAAUUUUAGGUCUGUUCGACCUUUAAAACUUU